rfam:Oryza brachyantha chromosome 2, whole genome shotgun sequence.
AAUAAUCUCAUUUUUCAUUUUUCCGUAUCCAACGUUAGAUCAUUCGUUUUAUUUAAAAUUUUUUGCGAUUAAUAUUUUUAUUGUUACUAGAUGAUAAAAUAUGAAUAGUACUUUAUAAGUGACUAAUUUUUUUAAGUUUUUGUGUAAAUUUUUCAAAUAAGACAAAUAGUCAAACGUUAGAUACGGAAAAAC